GUGAGGUUUACAGGCCAACAAAUGAGCACCUGAGAGCCCCCACAGCAUAAUGAUGUGCCCAAGGGACUGUGUGGUGGUGCUGAGUGUUUUCCCUUUUCUUUUUUCUUUUAAGCCCUAGGGAAAAUAAGCUUUGCACUUGUACCUCUCAACUUCCAGGAGCAUCCCUGGCCUGAGGUUUAUUCCUGCUGCUGAUCCACAGCAGCUUUUUAAACUCGAGUUUAGAGGAUAAGAGGAAGAGAAUCAGAUGAAUGAAAGCAAAGAUGCUGUUGCUUUGCCCGGUGGGUCUUCUCCCAUCACUUCUUGGCUGCAUGAGGCACUGGAGGAAGCUGAGGGUGCGUGGUGUGACAGGUCGUCUGUCUGUCUGCUGUGGUGAGGAUGUCUUGUAACCAGGUUUUGGGCUGUGGGAGCCCUCUGCUGAGCCUGUUCCAUCUGAAAGCAGCAGCUCUGAGUGCUUCUGCAUCAGGGCCACCGAUUGCUUUCCCACCUCCCUUUUCACCACCACAGUCUUUGAUUUUCCAGCUGGGUCUCCUGAUUUUCUGAAAAGACACCACCUCCUUCUCCUUUGCUUAUGAGGUUCCAAAAUUUCCCAAGGAUGAGACAAUCACAUCAACAUCCCUGCUCUGGUCCAGCAGUAGAGACAAGGUAAGUGAAACUUCUCCCUUCGCUGCUGAUUCCUCAGCCUUUGGUCAGCACAAAACAGUCCAG
rnacentral:lncRNA from 1 species